GGGGCCAUAGCUCAGUUGGGAGAGCGCUACAAUGGCAUUGUAGAGGUCAGGGGUUCGAUUCCCCUUGGCUCCACCA
rnacentral:tRNA from 15 species